ACGGGAGGCAGCAGUGAGGAAUAUUGGUCAAUGGGCGGAAGCCUGAACCAGCCAAGUCGCGUGAAGGAAGAAGGUAUUAUGUAUUGUAAACUUCUUUAGCUGUGGAGCAAUAAUCGCUAUGUAUAGCGAGAUGAGAGUACACAGAGAAUAAGGAUCGGCUAACUCCGUGCCAGCAGCCGCGGUAAUACGGAGGAUCCGAGCGUUAUCCGGAUUUAUUGGGUUUAAAGGGUGCGCAGGCGGCGUUUUAAGUCAGUGGUAAAAUCGUGGGGCUCAACCCCAUCCUGCCAUUGAUACUGGAGCGCUUGAGUGCGGUCGAGGUUUGCGGAAUUCGUCGUGUAGCGGUGAAAUGCAUAGAUAUGACGAAGAACACCGAUUGCGUAGGCAGCAGACCAGGCCGUAAAUGACGCUCAUGCACGAAAGUGCGGGGAUCGAACAGGAUUAGAUACCCUGGUA
rnacentral:rRNA from 1 species